rnacentral:lncRNA from 1 species
AAAAAAAAAUGGUUUGAAAACUUUUCAAUAAUUUUCUGUCCAUAUACAAAGCAAAUUUACAUAUGUAAAGAAUUAUCGCAGCAUGCCAACUCGAAAGCAAAGUUUCAAUGUAACUUCAAAAUCUUAAAAAUACAAUACAGGAACAUGUUUCAAUUUCAACAUAAACCACCGCUAAAGGUCGUGUUUCUUGUUAUAGAAUGAGGGAUGAACAUAAUCAUUGUUACCAACCCUUGCUUGAAAAUGGAAUGUGAUGGCUCUCUCAAUUUUGAUCUCUUGUAGCUUCAAUAUAAGCUAAGUAUGUUUUCCACCAUUUGCCACCAAAACAUCUUCAACCAAUCUUAAAGGUGUGAAGACCAAAACCUUUUCAAUUUUCCACUUUUCUUAUCAAGCAUAUCCGAUAAAAUUCACCGUG